AAUGCAGCCAAACCCAAAGAUCACAUCUUCAGUGUUGUGGUUUUUUUUAUCUGGUUGCAAACAUUAAAUAUUUGAACCUUGUCGCCUUUCUCUGCUGCUGCUGUGCCUCUGAAAGUGAAUCCAAGGUUCAACAAUC